rnacentral:rRNA from 1 species
AUACGAUCUAAGGAUGAAAGCGGGGGAUCGCAAGACCUCGCGCGAUUGGAGCGGCCGAUAUCAGAUUAGGUAGUUGGUGAGGUAAAGGCUCACCAAGCCAACGAUCUGUAGCUGGUCUGAGAGGACGACCAGCCACACUGGAACUGAGACACGGUCCAGACUCCUACGGGAGGCAGCAGUGGGAAUUUGGACAAUGGACGCAAGUCUGGAUCCAGCCAUUCCGCGUGCAGGAUGAAGGCCCUCGGGUUGUAAACUGCUUUUGUACGGAACGAAAAGGUUUGUCUUAAUACGAUGAGCUCAUGACGGUACCGUAAGAAUAAGCACCGGCUAACUACGUG